UACGAAGGGGGCUAGCGUUGUUCGGAAUUACUGGGCGUAAACCGCACGUAGGCGGAUAUUUAAGUCAGGGGUGAAAUCCCAGAGCUCAACUCUGGAACUGCCUUUGAUACUGGGUAUCUUGAGUAUGGAAGAGGUAAGUGGAAUUCCGAGUGUAGAGGUGAAAUUCGUAGAUAUUCGGAGGAACACCAGUGGCGAAGGCGGCUUACUGGUCCAUUACUGACGCUGAGGUGCGAAAGCGUGGGGAGCAAACAGG
rnacentral:rRNA from 1 species